UAGUCCACGCCGUAAACGAUGUCUACUCGGAAUUUGGUGUCUUGAACACUGGGUUCUCAAGCUAACGCAUUAAGUAGACCGCCUGGGGAGUACGGCCGCAAGGUUAAAACUCAAAUGAAUUGACGGGGGCCCGCACAAGCGGUGGAGCAUGUGGUUUAAUUCGAUGCAACGCGAAGAACCUUACCUACUCUUGACAUCCACAGAAUUUUCCAGAGAUGGAUUAGUGCCUUCGGGAACUGUGAGACAGGUGCUGCAUGGCUGUCGUCAGCUCGUGUUGUGAAAUGUUGGGUUAAGUCCCGCAACGAGCGCAACCCUUAUCCUUAUUUGCCAGCACGUAAUGGUGGGAACUUUAGGGAGACUGCCGGUGAUAAACCGGAGGAAGGUGGGGACGACGUCAAGUCAUCAUGGCCCUUACGAGUAGGGCUACACACGUGCUACAAUGGCGAGUACAGAGGGUUGCGAAGCCGCGAGGUGGAGCUAAUCUCAUAAAGCUCGUCGUAGUCCGGAUUGGAGU
rnacentral:rRNA from 1 species